GACGAACGCUGGCGGCGUGCUUAACACAUGCAAGUCGAGCGGUAAGGCCCCUUCGGGGGUACACGAGCGGCGAACGGGUGAGUAACACGUGAGCAAUCUGCCCUUCACACGGGGAUAACUUCGGGAAACCGGAGCUAAUACCCGAUACGACCACCUCGGGCAUCCGAUGGUGGUGGAAAGCUCCGGCGGUGAAGGAUGAGCUCGCGGCCCAUCAGCUUGUCGGUGGGGGAACGGCCCACCAAGGCAACGACGGGUAGCCGGCCUGAGAGGGUGACCGGCCACACUGGGACUGAGACACGGCCCAGACUCCUACGGGAGGCAGCAGCGGGGAAUAUUGGACAAUGGGCGAAAGCCUGAUCCAGCAACGCCGCGUGAGGGAUGACGGCCUUCGGGUUGUAAACCUCUUUCAGCAGGGACGAAGCGCAAGUGACGGUACCUGCAGAAGAAGCACCGGCCAACUACGUGCCAGCCGCCGCCGUAACAC
rnacentral:rRNA from 1 species